rnacentral:sRNA from 1 species
CGGCGCCCCCAGCGGACUCCCGGGACCGACGGAGGUCCUACCAGAUGCCUGUGCGGGAUGAGGAGUCGGAAUCCCAGAGAAAAGCUCGCUCCCGUCUCAUGCGCCAGUCUCGGAGGUCCACACAGGGUGUGACUCUGACAGACCUGAAGGAGGCAGAGAAGGCUGCAGGGAAGGCCCCAGAGUCAGAGAAGCCGGCGCAGAGCCUGGUGAGAGGGGUCAGCGAGGGCGCGUGGGGUGCUGCGGGAUGUCCUGGUUCCCUGACUCGCCUCCCCCUCCCGACAGGACCCUUCCCGAAGGCCCCGCGUCCCUGGAGUGGAGAACUCUGACAGCCCUGCCCAGAGAGAGGCUCCCGACGGGCAGGGUCCAGGACCGCAGGCGGCCAGGGAGCAUCGCAAGGUCGGAAAGGAGUGGAGGGGGCC